UACGUAGGGUGCGAGCGUUAAUCGGAAUUACUGGGCGUAAAGCGUGCGCAGGCGGUUUUGUAAGCCAGAUGUGAAAUCCCCGGGCUUAACCUGGGAAUGGCAUUUGGGACUGCAAGGCUCGAGUGCGGCAGAGGAGACUGGAAUUCCAGGUGUAGCGGUGAAAUGCGUAGAUAUCUGGAGGAACACCGGUGGCGAAGGCGGCAUUCUGGACUGUAACUGACACUGAGGAACGAAAGCCAGGGGAGCAAACGGG
rnacentral:rRNA from 1 species